rnacentral:sRNA from 1 species
UGCGGUGCCACAGUCAAAGCCACAGCCAAAGCCAAAGGUGGAAAAAGUGCCAAAGUGUCAGAUGCACGUCGCCGAUAAAACAGACAAAAGCUUCGCCAGAACAUUAUACGCUUUCAGUCGCCGUUCAGAUCGGUUUCCGGAGCACCCAACACUCCUCCUCACUUAUUUUCGACCAAAUCUGGAUGAACUUUAAUCCCCACUGAAGCUGCGGAAACCCAGAAACCUAUGUACACUACUUACCCCAACAUAACAUAACGCAUUCGAAAAUAAGAUAUCACAGAAAUCUUAGGUAUAUUAAGUUAUACACAUUUUUUGACUGUGCACUACUUGACCCCUGAGACAUGGGAAUACGAUUGCGAUUAGAUAGUGGUCCUUAGCAUUUGCACAGCGAGUUGUGUUGGCUCAGCAUGAUGAAUCACAUUUCGAUUGGAAUAUAUGAGGUCAAAGUAUGGGGCUCACCCCAUGAGGAGUGGACGCAGUAGAACCAAGUAGAACCCAACCCAACCCAAGGAGAUAAGAGUGGGAUUCCUCGGACUAUUGGUAGUGCAUUCGUAGAGGUGCCAAUUGUAACAUAUACAAGUGUAAACUCAACUCUAUUAGUUACUAUAGAACGCUCAUCCGCAGUUGCAAACACACGUUUCUAUAUAUGUAUAUUUAUUUAUAUGGCCAGGCUUAACGAGGCUUCUAGUUUUGUUUAAAGGUCUCAUAUUGCUAAGAAUUUAAUCAUUUGUGAACAACAACGGGUUUUCAUAUUGCAUACAUAUUUUAUAGCUCACUACACAAAUGGGUAAUUAAGCACUUGUGCUAGUAAUGUAUUCAGCAAUGUUUUUAAGCUUUUCUAUCGAAUUGUUAUAUGAUAAAAGCGAUCUACCUGAUCUUAACUAUAUCUGUAAUUUAUUUAUAGUAUGCGCCAUAUGCGAAUCAAUAAGCUAGCUAACUUGUUUGGAUUUCCAAUGUAAA